CGGUUGUGUAGGCUAAACUUUCGUCACUGUUCUCAGCGCUGGGGCUGAUGGCGAUUUUCACGUCUGUAAACCGUAUAACCGUUUAGACCGUGAGCGCCAACCUGUAAAGCCAGCACUCAUGCCAUUUCCUUAACUCGAGCCUUGUUUGUGACACCUCAACCACAACAAAUAUUUCCGAGAGCCCUCUGUGUUCCAGGCACCGUUUUAGGAAUGUGGGCAUCACUGAACAACGACGAAAAACAAGAGGAUUUCUAUUCUAGAAGGAGACUCGGACAGUAAGCGGUGAACCUAAUACGUGAGUAAAGUGGAUACGUUUGAAAUGACAUCCGCUAAGGACGAAGACAGCAGAGUAGAGUGAGGGGCUGGCCACAGCGACUGCGCUCUGAGCAGGGUGGCAGGGUUGGCCUCGCUGAGAAUGCAUUUAAACGAAGACUUGAAAGAGGUUUUUGUGGGAAAUGACCUUGAUGCAACGGGAGCCUCCAAGUGCCGGGCAAACUGCUCUGCUACAGGACGGAAUAGCUCACGGAGCGAGCGAGCGUCCAGUCGUACGGAUUGCUGAAUCAACCUCAGACACCUGGGAGCACAAGAGGACCCCUCCUACACACACAAGCACCCUGGGCCAGAGCGUACGCAGAAAGAGCUGCGAUCAGUGUCAGCAACGACCUGCGCCCGGUUCCAGGCCUUCCAGCCGUCCUCCCAGGCAGAGAGAAGAAAAAGGAAGAUAAGAUGAGACCGGUGGUGAUGGUGGCCUCCCCAGCCUCCUGCUCCUACCAGGAAAACGUCUGCCUCAAACAGUGUAAAACAAAAUACUGAAGCAAAGACGUUGAGAAUCCUUCGUCCUGCUUCUCAAGAUGGUAGGAGUGGAGCUGGGCUGCAAUCCCAGGUUUGCUGGACGCAGGUCGGCUUCAACCACCUCUCUGAGCCCAGAAUCGCGGCAGAGGGAAGUAGUCAGUGGGUGUUGUCAUGGGAGGUUGUUUUUUCUUGAUGGGAGUCUCCACCACCCUUUCUUGUCUUGUUUUUCACUGUUGCCUGUGUGUAAGCCCCCAUGACAGUCUCGUCCCCAAACUCCAGGCUCUCUCUUGCCUCUGAGCCUUGGCACACGCUGGUCUCCUGAGGAAAGCUCUCCCCGCUCCACCCUGUGCUGCUCCCACCCUGCCGUGCCCUUCAAGACUGCUGAGUCACCACCUGCCCCAGCACCCUCUGCCUGCUCCUUCCCCUCCGUGGCCUAUCCUGCGACCAGUGGAGGUCUCCGUCUUUCUCCAGCACCGACCUCCAAACUUCUUUUCUUUGGUUCUCUGAAGUCAUCUUAGAAACCAGGCACUGCAUUGGGUAUCCUCAGCUGGAUCUGAAAUUUUUCAUAAUGAGCUUCAAUAGUGGAAAAGGAUAUAAUUUCUUAUGUAUUGUGAACAAUGGAUAUUAAAAUAAAAUGUU